rnacentral:rRNA from 1 species
UACGGGGGGGGCAAGCGUUGUUCGGAAUUACUGGGCGUAAAGGGCGCGUAGGCGGCCUGCUAAGUCGGACGUGAAAUCCCUCGGCUCAACCGAGGAACUGCGUCCGAUACUGGUGGGCUUGAAUCCGGGAGAGGGAUGUGGAAUUCCAGGUGUAGCGGUGAAAUGCGUAGAUAUCUGGAGGAACACCGGUGGCGAAGGCGGCAUCCUGGACCGGUAUUGACGCUGAGGCGCGAAAGCCAGGGGAGCGAACGGG